GGUUGGCUCAGAAGCAGCCAUCCUUUAAAGAGUGCGUAACAGCUCACUAGUCGAAUGACUCUGCGCCGAUAAUUUACCGGGGCUAAGCAUACUACCGAAGCUAUGGAUCCCAAGGGAUGGUAGGGGAGCGUUCCAUGAACGGAGAAGUACGACCGAAAGGACGUGUGGAGAUCAUGGAAGAGAGAAUGCCGGUGUGAGUAGCGGAACGUGGGUGAGAAUCCCACGCACCGAAAACCCAAGGUUUCCAGAGGAAGGUUCGUCCGCUCUGGGUAAGUCGGGACCUAAGGCGAGGCCGAAAGGCGUAGUCGAUGGACAACAGGUAGAGAUUCCUGUACCCGUAUAUAUGUGAAGGAAUGACGGAGAGAGGAAGCUGCAGCCAGCGGCUGGAAGAGCUGGUGCAAGCGAGAUAUCGGGAUGGCAGGCAAAUCCACCAUCCGAAACGAGAAGGCGUGAAGCGUACGGAAAGCUACGGCGAGUACGGAAGGCAGUGGAGGAACUUCCAAGAAAAGUUUCUAACGUAAAGUAUAUAUGGCCCGUACCGAAAAUGGACACACAUGGGUGAGGAGAGAAUCCUAAGGUGAGCGAGAGAACUAUAGCUAAGGAACUCUGCAAAAUGACUCCGUAACUUAGGGAGAAGGAGUGCUCAUAGAGAUAUGAGCCGCAGUGAAACGGCCCAAGCGACUGUUUACCAAAAACACAGCUCUCUGCUAAGCCGCAAGGCGAAGUAUAGGGGGUGACGCCUGCCCGGUGCUGGAAGGUUAAGGGGAGGGGUUAACGCAAGUGAAGCCCUGAACUGAAGCCCCAGUAAACGGCGGCCGUAACUAUAACGGUCCUAAGGUAGCGAAAUUCCUUGUCAGGUAAGUUCUGACCCGCACGAAAGGCGUAACGAUUUGGGCGCUGUCUCAGCUGUAGACUCGGUGAAGUCUUAGUACCUGUGAAGAUGCAGGUUACCCGCGACUAGACGGAAAGACCCCAUGGAGCUUCACUGCAGGUUGAUAUUGGGAUUUGAUGCAGCAUGUACAGGAUAGGUAGGAGGCAAAGAGAUGGAUACGCCAGUAUUCAAGGAGCCGCUGUUGGGAUACUACCCCUGUUGUAUUGGAUUUCUAACCGGACGACGUAGAGCCGUUGACGGGACAGUGUCAGUCGGGCAGUUUGACUGGGGCGGUCGCCUCCCAAAGAGUAACGGAGGCGCCCAAAGAUACCCUCAGCUUGGAUGGAAACCAAGCGCAGAGUGCAAAGGCAAAAGGGUGUUUGACUGCGAGACCCACAAGUCGAGCAGGGACGAAAGUCGGGCUUAGUGAUCCGGCGGUGCUGAAUGGAAAGGCCGUCGCUCAACGGAUAAAAGCUACCCUGGGGAUAACAGGCUGAUCUCCCCCAAGAGUCCACAUCGACGGGGAGGUUUGGCACCUCGAUGUCGGCUCAUCGCAUCCUGGGGCUGUAUUCGGUCCCAAGGGUUUGGCUGUUCGCCAAUUAAAGCGGUACGCGAGCUGGGUUCAGAACGUCGUGAGACAGUUCGGUCCCUAUCUGUCGUGGGCGCAGGAAAUUUGAGAAGAGCUGUCCUCAGUACGAGAGGACCGGGAUGGACGCAUCAAUGGUGGACCAGUUGUCACGCCAGUGGCAUAGCUGGGUAGCUAAAUGCGGAAGGGAUAAACGCUGAAGGCAUCUAAGUGUGAAACCCACUUCAAGAUGAGAUUUCCCAUUGC
rnacentral:rRNA from 1 species